rnacentral:tRNA from 1 species
GCACUCGUAGCUCAAUUGGAUAGAGCAUUGGUCUACGGAACCAAAGGUUACAGGUUCGAGUCCUGUCGAGUGCG